rnacentral:rRNA from 1 species
GUGGGGAAUAUUGGACAAUGGGGGCAACCCUGAUCCAGCCAUGCCGCGUGAGUGAUGAAGGCCUUCGGGUUGUAAAGCUCUUUUGGCGGGGACGAUGAUGACGGUACCCGCAGAAUAAGCCCCGGCUAACUUCGUGCCAGCAGCCGCGGUAAGACGAAGGGGGCUAGCGUUGUUCGGAAUUACUGGGCGUAAAGCGAGUGUAGGUGGUUGUCAUAGUCAGGUGUGAAAGCCUUGAGCUCAACUCAAGAAAUGCACUUGAUACUGGGCGACUAGAGGACCGGAGAGGAUAGUGGAAUUCCCAGUGUAGUGGUGAAAUACGUAGAGAUUGGGAAGAACACCAGUGGCGAAGGCGGCUAUCUGGACGGUUUCUGACACUAAGACUCGAAAGCGUGGGGAGCAAACAGGAUUAGAAACCCGGGUAGUCC